GGUGUGGGAGAGACCAGAAUCUUUAUUAUUAAGUAAUAAUGUUUUUGUGCUGUUGUCUAAAUUAGGGCUUGUUUGUCUUUAACAGUGUUGGGCAACAUCAUGUUGUGGCUGGAAAUGGUUAAACUUUCUAGUGAGCCAUCCAAAAUAGAGGAGGAUUUGUGAGAAUCCCAUCAGAAAGAGGGAAAACACCAUAGUGUUGGAGCAACAAUUUUCCAGGAAUAUACAUUGUAUCUUGGGACAGUUACCAGAGAUCAACAAAGCAUCCUGCUGUGAGGUACCUUUGGAAAGACAGCAUUCUUUCACUUGGACAGCCCUCUAGUGCUCUCCUUCGUGUACAAGCCCACACUGGUGCUGUUUAAUGCAUCCUGGGAGUCUACCAGCUGAGCCCCUGCUUUCCUGGAAGAAUCUGUUAGCUGGAAUUAUUACCAAUAUUACCUUUCAAGAUCUGGAGGUUCCGUGCAAUCCAGAGUGCUACAUCUCUUCUAGUGGACUCGGUCAUGUGUUGAUUUUAACCUGACUCCACGAAGAGUGUUGCCCUGUUUACUGGCUGAAGAGACAUCCCAGCAAUGCCCAGCAGACUUACACAGCAACUAAGGAGUCAUAAUCCUGUGGCACAACGAAGGCGAGGGUUGAUUCAUUGAUGACAGGACACAGGAAAUGCAGCUCAUUUUGGAAGGUGAUGUUCCAGUCAGCAGCAGUGAAUGUCUUCAUUUUCUCAGACAUACUGCUCAGAACCUCCUGAAUCCUAGAAAGCAGCAUGUAGUCCAGCAACUGACUGCAGGAGUAGCUUUUUCUCCAGUGUCACCUUUUUAUAUGGUGACAUCCAGCUGAUCACAGGAGAUGUGGUGAGUGAUGCCAGGUGACUUCUUUGACUCUGUUCCAAGGAGCAAAGGCCCGGCCCUUGCUGAGGCAUCCUCAGGUGUCACAUAACUUGUGUCACUUGUUAAAAACACUGAACUCCAGUAGUGGUAAUCUCUGUCCUUCUCCACCCAUUCUUGAUGGAAAUGGACUGCCUUAAAGUGAGAACAGCUUUUAAGGGGGGGAAAGAUCAAAGGACUGGGUAGACUUGGUAGUGCAAUUGCAUAGAUGACUUCUGUAUUAUUUUCCCAAGUAGAUUUGUGGGAGGAAGUUUAACAUCUCCUGGAGAGCUCCGAACCUGGCGGAAUUAGAGCCCUCUGUAGUCUCAUGCUGUUGAAGUUAUGACCAGCCAACAAAGAGGCAUCACGUAACAUGGCUUUUAUAAACUGUCCCUGCAAGGACUGGUUCUUGUGCACUUAUUCUGCUUAUUGGUACAGAAAAUGUUUCCUCAAUAGCAGUCUAAAGGCCACCUUCUGACUUGGCUUAGGGCAGAGGCUUAUUGUAGACCACCUCUGUCAUCUCUUUUGGCCUAUUUCAAUCCCCAAAUUUCUGAC
rnacentral:lncRNA from 1 species